ACCGCAGGGUCCGGAGGCGCAAUG
rnacentral:piRNA from 1 species